AGAGUUUGAUCAUGGCUCAGAGCGAACGCUGGCGGCAUGCUUAACACAUGCAAGUCGCACGGUCAGCAAUGGCAGUGGCGGACGGGUGAGUAACACGUAGGAAUCUAUCCAGAGGUGGGGGACAACAGCGGGAAACUGCUGCUAAUACCGCAUGAUACCUGAGGGUCAAAGGCGCAAGUCGCCUUUGGAGGAGCCUGCGUCUGAUUAGCUUGUUGGUGGGGUAAAGGCUUACCAAGGCGACGAUCAGUAGCUGGUCUGAGAGGAUGAUCAGCCACAUUGGGACUGAGACACGGCCCAAACUCCUACGGGAGGCAGCAGUGGGGAAUAUUGGACAAUGGGCGCAAGCCUGAUCCAGCAAUGCCGCGUGUGUGAAGAAGGUCUUCGGAUUGUAAAGCACUUUUGGCAGGGACGAUGAUGACGGUACCUGCAGAAUAAGCCCCGGCUAACUUCGUGCCAGCAGCCGCGGUAAUACGAAGGGGGCUAGCGUUGCUCGGAAUGACUGGGCGUAAAGGGCGUGUAGGCGGCAUGUACAGUCAGAAGUGAAAUUCCUGGGCUCAACCUGGGGACUGCUUUUGAUACGUGCAAGCUUGAGUAAGGAAGAGGGUUGUGGAAUUUCCAGUGUAGAGGUGAAAUUCGUAGAUAUUGGAAAGAACACCGGUGGCGAAGGCGGCAACCUGGUCCUUUACUGACGCUGAGGCGCGAAAGCGUGGGGAGCAAACAGGAUUAGAUACCCUAGUAGUCC
rnacentral:rRNA from 1 species